CCUUGGAAUGUCUGGAAUCCUGAAGAGAUUUGGGAGUGCUCGAAAGAGAGCCAGAACACAGGUGCUGCAUGGCCGUCGUCAGCUCGUGUCGUGAGAUGUUGGGUUAAGUCCCGCAACGAGCGCAACCCUUGUCAUUAGUUGCUACGUAAGGGCACUCUAAUGAGACUGCCGGUGACAAACCGGAGGAAGGUGGGGAUGACGUCAGGUCAUCAUGGCCCUUAUGGGUAGGGCUACACACGUCAUACAAUGGCCGGUACAGAGGGCUGCCAACCCGCGAGUGGGAGCCAAUCCCAGAAAACCGGUCGUAGUCCGGAUCGCAGUCUGCAACUCGACUGCGUGAAGUCGGAAUCGCUAGUAAUCGCGGAUCAGCUUGCCGCGGUGAAUACGUUUCCCGGGUCUUGUACACACCGCCCGUCACACCAUGGGAGCGGGUUCUGCCAGAAGUAGUUAGCCUAACUGCAAGGAGGGCGAUUACCACGGCAGGUUUCGUGACUGGGGUGAAGUCGUAACA
rnacentral:rRNA from 1 species